AUUGAACGCUGGCGGCAGGCCUAACACAUGCAAGUCGAGCGGAGCGGCGGACGGGUGAGUAAUGCCUAGGAAUCUGCCUGGUAGUGGGGGAUAACGUCCGGAAACGGGCGCUAAUACCGCAUACUAUCAGAUGAGCCUAGGUCGGAUUAGCUAGUUGGUGGGGUAAAGGCAUCCCAAGGCGACGAUCCGUAACUGGGCUGAGAGGAUGAUCAGUCACACUUGAACUGAGACACGGUCCAGACUCCUACGUGGGGCAGAAGUUUGGACGAGUGGACAAUGGGCGAAAGCCUGUUCCAGCCAUGCCGCGUGUGUGAAGAAGGUCUUCGGAUUGUAAAGCACUUUAAUUUUUGAGGCGUUACCAACAGAAUAAGCACCGGCUAACUGCGUGCCAGCCGCCGCGGUAAUA
rnacentral:rRNA from 1 species